rnacentral:rRNA from 1 species
AAAGGUGAAAUUCGGUUUUUAAGUUGUUAAAGUUAAUUGGAAUUGAGGCUAUAAAGUUUUAGAGAUAAACUAGAAUUAGAUACUCUAUUAUACUAAAAUUUAAUAAAGAAUAUUGGGUUAUUAAUAGUUAUUUUCUUUAAAUUCAAAGAAUUUGGCGGUAGUUUAUUCUUUCUAGAGGAACUUGUUUGUAGUAAAUGUUGAUAAUCCCCGAAAUAUCUUACUUGAGUUUGUAUAUCGUCAUUAUUAGAUAAUUUUGUAAAGAAUAAAUUGUUAAUAUUAAUAUAAUUAAAGAAAUUAGAUCAAGGUGCAGUUAAUAAACAUGAAUGGAUGAGUUACAAUAAAAUUGAUUUAGUAUGGAGUUUUUGAUAUGAAGGAGGAUUUAGUUGUAUGUAAUUUUAAUAAGGUUAAGUGAUAUUGGCUCUAAAAUAUGUACAUAUUGCCCGUCGCUUUC